ensembl:lncRNA
UAGAUGUUAGGAAGAACUUCUUUACUGAGAGGGUUGUUAGGCACUGGAACAGGCUGCCCAGGGAGGUGGUGGAGUCACCAUCCCUGGAAGUCUUUAAAAGACGUUUAGAUGUCGAGCUUAGGGAUAUGGUUUAGUGGGGACUGUUAGUGUUAGGUUAGAGGUUGGACUCGAUGAUCUUGAGGUCUCUUCCAACCUAGAAAUUCUGUGAUUCUGUGAUUCUUCUCAGCUUAAAGAACAAAUGUCAUCCAUUAAUGAAGAAAAAGAGGAGCUAGAACAACUUCUUCAGGACACCAGGGCUGAGCGGGACCAGCUCAAGAUGGAAUUGCAAAAAACCUCUGAGAUGUCUAUUGAAACGAGUGCUAAACUGGAAUGUGCUCUAAGUAAACUGAAGGAGAGAAGCCUGAGUGAUGUGUCUGUUCAAGUGGAUGCACUGGAUAACACAGAACAGAUGGAUGAUGACAGCCUGAAGGCAAAAAUCAUGCGAAUUGAGAUUAAAUUAAACACAAGAUUAUUGGUCAAAAGCACUCAGACAAACAACUACAAGAAAACAACCCUACCUGCAAGAAAACAACAACCCCCUUGUGAUUAGCAGUCACGUAGACCUUGUCUUUGAAGCCAGAUGCUGGUGUCAGAAGUUCUGGCAGAAAUGGAAAGUCUGCAGGAAGAACUAAAGCAUCGUAAAGAGCAAGCUGAUAUUCAGAAGAACUUGAUAGCAGAAGCAGAAGAGAAACAGCAAAAGACUUGUAGCAAGCCAUGGGAUUUUUGCUGUUUCGAAAAAUCCCUCAACAAUUCCCCCCCCUUUUUUUCUUCUCUGAGCAAACCAAGCCUGAUGUAACAGUUUUGCAAGUAACCCUAUAACCACUUUUAUCACAAUACAACAUGCAAUGAUGAUUGACACCACAGCAAACAGAAUCCUUAAUCCCUCUUUGACUAAUCCCAGUAACCAUCUAUGCAUCGUUUCAAACAAAUCAGUGAACCACUGAUUGAAAGGAUUGAUACCAUAUUGAAUCUUUCUCAUGUGCUCUUUCAGGAAAGUAAUGGAUUUGUGAAUUGACUCAUUCUGAUCAAAAAGGUUUAAACAGCACAUUUGCUCAGAGUCCCCACCCCCAUGGCUUUGAGCCAAAAGCAAGAUGUCAAUAGCAGCUUGAUCCUGUAAAAGCACAUGUCGCAGACUAUUUUGAUCUGGUAACAUCUCCUCGAGUAUCUCUGUCGGGGCAUGGGCUUGCUUCUCAGCCCAGCAUACCAAUUUUUCUAAGCUCUUAAUUGCGGCCACAGAUGCCACUUCUGGCACUAAAAUUGCCAAUGCCGCUCUAGCUGCAACACCAAGCAGUUCAACAUUAUCAUUGCAAUCCGGUGCUAGCAAUGCCCGUUUAUGUCUGGUGAUCUCACACAACUGUGACAAGCUAGGAGCAAAUAUGGUGAGUUUAUCUAAGUAACAUGGACAUCUGACAGCAUUUGCAGGGAUACCCUGCCAGGCCCUAUCCCCGCAAAUCAGAAGAACAUCAGGAGGUAAGGCCAAAGCUGUACAAUUGUUCCAAACACUGUAGUUGUUACCCCUUGUCUCCGUGCCAUAAGCCCCUAAACCCUGCCUAGCAGUGUCAUUGUAAUCCCAGGUGUUAUUUGUAUUUCUGUACCUGUAUGGCCCUUUCCAGGUUCCUGUAGCAGGAUCUCGGUAAUUCAUUCUUAUUCGUGGUAACACGUUUGGUGCUACUCUAUUUAUUCUUUGAAAAUGAAUACUUGCAGGAGGGUCUUCUGGUCCCCAGUCAAACAUAAGUGAUUCAAGACACCCAAUGCCUCGGACAAUCGUUCAUCGAUGUUCUUGAUCUCUUUUAAUCUCACUAAUUGUUCCUUUAAAACCUGAUGUGAUUGUUCAACCAUCACUUGGCCUGUGGGAGAAAAUGGAACACUCGUUUUAGGCUGAAUCUGUAGGAAAAUCCAUUCCAGAACUCGAAAAUGCUGCCCUAUCAUUCCACCCUUGCCAUCACCUGUGUCACUUAUACUACUCCUAUUACCCGUGCUGUUAGUGUCAGUGGCAUCCUCCUGGUACCGUUUCUGUCGCCCCUUACUCUCCCCCUUUUCUUUUUGCCACUGACCAUUCACCACAACUGGAUGAGACACAUGAUUGCUAAUUAGGAAAGAGAGCGUAACGUCUGCUAGACGGCUGCAGGCAGUGCCGGCUGCAGCCUUAGAAGCUGUUUGUGACAGAGCCUGCCGGUGGGCAUUUGGCAGUGUGAUCCGUGGCUCUGCACUCCUGCCCCGCAAUAAAGGCAGUAAUAGAGCUAAGUCGUCAUGAGUAAUCCGCACAACAUGGCAACCCCACGGAAUGUAAUCCAGGAACAUAGUUAUACCACCGAUCUGGGGACAAAUAGUCUUUUUUGCAGUGCAAGACACGCCUCUCAUAAACAGAAUGCCAGAGCGAAGCAGCACAGCCAGCCCUGCCUCCACGGUCACGUCAGACAGGCUGCAGGGUCCUGAUCUCUGCCCCUCUGUGUGCCGACUCGCCACACGGUGAGGGUCGGCUGCCGGUGUCCACUGACGCCUCUGGUCUCCCGUAGCAACUCGAUCCCGGCUGUCCCGCAUCCCCCCACGAUUGCUUUGUUUCCCUGCAUUUUUAUUUUUAGUUUUCCCCCACGUCUCACCGCGUGUCCUGUGUCCGGGUUGGUGCUUGGAGUUUCUCAGUGUCUCUCGGGUGUUGCGGCUUCUGUCGGCUCUCCGUGUCUCUCAGAGCCGUCCAUGUCUCUGAAGCAUCUCUCAGGGCUCUCUGUGCCUCUGAAGUCUCUCCGUGUGUCUCAGGUCUCUCAGCUUCUCUCAGGGCUCUCCGUGUCUCUGAAGCCUCUCUGUUUCUGUCAGCAUCUGUCAGAUCUCUGCGUGUCAGUCUCAGCCUGUUCGGGCCCCAUACGUUGCAGGAAGCACGGCCGAAAGCAUGACAGACACCAGAAUGGUCAGAUCAUGCUCCAUUUUAGUGCCCGAAUAGCCUGACUUUUCUAGUGAACUUAAACGGGAGGAUAGUGUCUCACACAAGAUUAUUGGUCAAACGCACUCAGACAGACAACUACAAGAAAACAACCCCACCUGCAAGAAAACAACCCCCUUGUGAUUAGCAGUCACGUAGACCUUGUCCUUGAAGCCAGCUGCUGGCAACAAUAUUUCUCUAAAUUCCUCACUUGGGCGAUGUGGGAACACUGUCAUGGGAACUUGGUUUGCUCAGCUGCAGCAAGCCCUGGGAUCUUUGCUGUUUCAGAAAUCCCUCAACACUUCCUUGAAUCACCACAUAAUUUUGGAAGCUUUUUUUUAACCUAACAAUCAUUUUUAAUGAAUAUUUGACACACUAAUUCUUUGAAGCUUUUAAAAAUAAAGGUUAGUAUAGUCACUCACCAAAAGAUCUCAACCAGCUUGUUGGGUUUACUGACCUUUGGAAAAAGGAAGUUUUACGCUCAUUUGUUUUGCUAUGCUUGUUGGGAGUUGUAGUCUAACUGAGAAGUUUCUCUACACCAACGCAGCUUCGUGUUGAAACACCAAGAUGCUGCCAUCUAGUGAAACUCAAGAUUUCCAGUGGGAUUUUCUCCUGCACAGGUUAGGAAUAAAAGAGGGUCAUGAACAUUAGCUAUCCAUUCCCCCAUAAAGAAUGCAAGAGAUUAACAGGAUUCUCACCAAAAAAGGCCACGACAAUGUUCUUCCCCAAGCAAUUGCUCUUUAU